rnacentral:rRNA from 1 species
AGCGAACGCUGGCGGCAGGCCUAACACAUGCAAGUCGAACGAACCUUUCGGGGUUAGUGGCGGACGGGUGAGUAACACGUGGGAACGUGCCUUUAGGUUCGGAAUAACUCAGGGAAACUUGUGCUAAUACCGAAUGUGCCCUUCGGGGGAAAGAUUAAUCGCCUUUAGAGCGGCCCGCGUCUGAUUAGCUAGUUGGUUGAGGUAAUGGCUCACCAAGGCGACGAUCAGUAGCUGGUCUGAGAGGAUGAUCAGCCACAUUGGGACUGAGACACGGCCCAAACUCCUACGGGAGGCAGCAGUGGGGAAUCUUGCGCAAUGGGCGAAAGCCUGACGCAGCCAUGCCGCGUCAAUGAUGAAGGUCUUAGGAUUGUAAAAUUCUUUCACCGGGGACGAUAAUGACGGUACCCGGAGAAGAAGCCCCGGCUAACUUCGUG